rnacentral:rRNA from 1 species
GACGAACGCUGGCGGCGUGCUUAACACAUGCAAGUCGAACGGUGAAGCGCCUUCCUUUUUGGUGGGUGUGGAUGAGUGGCGAACGGGUGAGUAACACGUGAGUAACCUGCCCCCUUCUUCUGGAUAACCGCAUGAAAGUGUGGCUAAUACGGGAUAUUCUGGGUCUGUCGCAUGAUGGGUCUGGGAAAGAUAUUGUUUCGGUGGGGGAUGGGCUCGCGGCCUAUCAGCUUGUUGGUGGGGUGAUGGCCUACCAAGGCGGUGACGGGUAGCCGGCCUGAGAGGGUGGACGGUCACACUGGGACUGAGACACGGCCCAGACUCCUACGGGAGGCAGCAGUGGGGAAUAUUGCACAAUGGGCGCAAGCCUGAUGCAGCGACGCCGCGUGAGGGAUGGAGGCCUUCGGGUUGUGAACCUCUUUCGCCAGUGAAGCGGCCUGCCUCGUUUGUGGGUGGGUUGACGGUAGCUGGAUAAGAAGCGCCGGCUAACUACGUG